ensembl:lncRNA
GACGAGACUUCCUCACAGGCUCCAUGCUGCACAAACAUCAUUACUUUUAUGGCCACCGGUUUUGUUGUGCUGUGAUGGAUCACACCUUUUCUUCUUUUUUCUUACCGUUAAAAACCGAUGUUUACUCACUACCACUGUCUGAGGUGACACACUAAUCACAACACACACACACACACACACACACACACACACACAGUCUACCUCUACCUCACGAUUGAUCCUUUACUGGCCUCAGAUCCCUUAACAGUGUCGAGGAGGAGACGAGAAAAGAGGGGAGUUAAAGAGAAGGGGUAAAAUGUGGAUUUAACAAAAGGAGAGAAGAUAAACUGGGAGAAAAGGAGAAGAAGAAAGAACUGCGAAUAAGAGAGGGGAAAAAGAGGAAAGUAACCAGGAACGCGACUGAAAGAAAACCAGACUGAAGCGACCGAAAGGCAGAGUGAGACGGAGAGAAAGAAUGAAAGAUUUUUUUUUAGAAAAUGAGGGAUUUAAGAAAGGGGGGAGAAAAGAGGGGGGAGAACAGAAUAAAAGGAAAACAGAAAGAAAUGAAUGAAUGAAAAGAAAGAAAGAAAACGAGUGUGGAUGGAUAAAAUACAGAAUCGAAGGAAAAGAGAGAGAAAGAAUGUAAAUGAGAGAAUGAAUAAGAAAAGAAAGAGAGAAAGAGAGAGAGAAAAGAGAAAGAAAACAAAUCAAAGAGAAAAUCUCCCUGCCAGGUGAUGAUGUCAUAAUGGUCUUUACAGCAGCCGACCAAUCAGCAGCUUCACUUCAAUUCAAUACCUAUCGCUCUGGUAAGCGGGAAAAUCCUAAUUCAUUUCAUCUUUCGCAACUUUGCUGAGAGAGAGUGAGAGACAUGGGCUCUUUUUGCAUCUCCAACACACACACACACACACACACACACACACACACACACACACACACACACACAAGGCUACAAAUAGCUAACCAAGGUGACUCUAUCGAUCAGCAGAGGGAAAACAAGGGAGUGGAAGAGUAAAUGAGUGGAGUAAAGAAAACACACUGUGUGUGUCUGUGUGUGUGUGUGUGUGUGUGUGUGUGUGUGUGUGUGUGCUGUAUUGUAACGAAUAGCAGUCU